rnacentral:tRNA from 1 species
GGGGUUGUAGCUCAGUGGUAGAGUGCUUGCUUUGUGCUCAUGAGGCACUGGGUUCGAUCCUCAGCAUCACAU